rnacentral:rRNA from 1 species
GCAACGCGAAGAACCUUACCAGGCCUUGACAUGCAGAGAACUUUCCAGAGAUGGAUUGGUGCCUUCGGGAACUCUGACACAGGUGCUGCAUGGCUGUCGUCAGCUCGUGUCGUGAGAUGUUGGGUUAAGUCCCGCAACGAGCGCAACCCUUGCCUUUAGUUGCCAGCAGUUCGGCUGGGCACUCUAAAGGGACUGCCGGGUGUUAAACCGGAGGAAGGUGGGGAUGACGUCAAGUCCUCAUGGCCUUUAUGACCAGGGCUACACACGUACUACAAUGGCCGAUACAAAGGGCAGCGACACUGCGAGGUGAAGCCAAUCCCGUAAAAUCGGUCUCAGUCCGGAUUGGAGUCUGCAACUCGACUCCAUGAAGUUGGAAUCGCUAGUAAUCGUGGAUCAGCAUGCCACGGUGAAUACGUUCCCGGGCCUU